GCUGGGUGUGGUGGAGCAUGCCUGUAAUCCCAGAGGCUUGGGAAGCUGAGGCAGGAUCAGGAGUUCAAAGCCAGCCUCAG
rnacentral:sRNA from 1 species